rnacentral:piRNA from 1 species
GAGAUGAACAACUGCAUCCAUGGUUC